rnacentral:lncRNA from 1 species
UUGACAUAAUUUGAGUUACAGUAGCUUAAUUGGAUCUCAGAUCUGGUUCUUCAUUCUCAAAGUUGCCCUUUUUCUUCCUCCGCAUAUCCAAGCCCCAAACCAUGAAGACAAACCAAACAGAAGAUGAAGCCAAUCAAACAAAUCCAUACCCAAAUCAGAAAAAGGAGAUGAAGGAAGAAGACUACGAUGGAGGAAGGGAGAUCGAGGGUGAGAAGACCCACGGCCACAGUUAUGGCUCCGGCGGAGAUGUUCAAUUACUUAAGUUUGGAUCUUUGCAUAUGGAUCUGUUCUCCCUCCCCCUUUGAAUCUGGAUCUGUCCAUUUUGAAUAUGGAUCUUUUUCAUCUACUAAAGGAGGAGCAUGAAGGGGUAUAAUACUAUCAAUUGUUGGAAGUCUACAGGUGCUGCGUUGAGACCAUGUCAAUAACACAUAUGCGGAUGCAAACAACUGGGUUCAUAUGCUGGGAGGAGUAUUAAUUGUUAGGUUAUCUCACAAUAAGUUUUGGGUUCUGUAGUUUUAUCUGUUGAUAGGAUAGGAUCCACUUUGUGUUGGAGUCAGCAUGUGUUUGUAAAGCUCGCGGCUUUUCCACCCUCUGCUCUUCACUUCUCCGUUGUUUAUUGCUUUUUUAUUGAAAAUGUUGAAGCUUUGAGAGAUAGAAAAGUGGGUGGGUAAGAGGGGAAUGAAGAACCAUAUGGGUUGCAAAGAAAAAAACCAGAUCUUGAUGAAGAAAAUGUGUCUCUUGCUUGUUUUCAUCAAUUUUCCUGCAAAGUUUUCUUCUUUUGCAGAGAGUUGCAAAGGUUAAGAACAUUUUGGAGAUGGUGGAGUUUUUUCCAAACCCAGAAGAAAAAGAUCCAAGCUUUUCUCAACCCCUGAAACAAAAGAUCCAAAUUUUUUAUGUCUGCAGUAGAUGAAGAAGAGAGGAAAGAGGAGAGUAAAGAGAUUAUUGGUUAGAGGUGGAGGUGGAGGUGGAGGGGGCGGUGGUUGUCGUGGGGUCAUGGAGGUUUCAGAGAGAUGAUGGCUGGGUGGUCAUGGAGGUUUCAGAGAGAUGGUGGUUGGGUCAAAAUUUCAGAAUUUUUUUUAAGAAAG